UUCGCCCUUUUCCGGUUGAUCCCGCCGGACCCCACUGCUAUCGGGAUGGGACUAAGACAUGCUAGUUGAGCGCUUUCCAGCCAUGUGGGAGGCGCAGCGCACAGCUCAGUAACACGUGGCUAACCUGCCCUUAGGACGAGACCAACCCCGGGAAACUGGGGAUAAUCCUCGAUAGGUGAAGAACUCUGGAAUGAGUCUUUGCCUAAAAGGCGUUGGAUCAUGCUUUCAGCGUCGCCUAAGGAUGGGGCCGCGACCGAUCAGGUUGUUGGUGAGGUAAUGGCCCACCAAGCCUAUAACCGGUGCGGGCCGUGAGGGCGGGAGCCCGGAGAUGGGCACUGGGACAAGGGCCCAGGUCCUACGGGGCGCAGCAGUCGCGAAAACUUUGCAAUACACGAAAGUGUGACAGGGCUAUCCCGAGUGCCAUCCGCUGAGGAAGGCUUUUACCCAGUCUAGAACGCUGGGGGAAUAAGGAGAGGGCAAGUCUGGUGUCAGCCGCCGCGGUAAUGCCAGCUCUCCGAGUGGUGUGGAUGUUUAUUGGGCCUAAAGCAUCCGUAGCUGGCUAAGUUAGUCCUUUGUUAAAUCCACCGAAUUAAUCGUUGGAUUGCGGGGGAUACUGCUUGGCUAGGGGACGAG
rnacentral:rRNA from 1 species